rnacentral:rRNA from 1 species
CACGUAGGGUGCGAGCGUUGUCCGGAAUUACUGGGCGUAAAGCGUGCGUAGGUGGUUUCUUAAGUCCGUUGUGAAAGCCCUGGGCUCAACCUGGGAACUGCAGUGGAUACUGAGAGGCUAGAGUGUGUCAGAGGAUGGUGGAAUUCCCGGUGUAGCGGUGAAAUGCGUAGAGAUCCGGAAGAACACCGGUGGCGAAGGCGGCCUGCUGGGGUGGAGCUGACGCUGAGGCGCGACAGCGUGGGGAGCAAACAGG